GUACACGCGCUUUACUUCCCCUCACUCUCAGCUGCGGCUGAUGUGUUUUGUCUGUAAAAACUCUCAACAAAGUUCUGGAAUUUUUAAAUAACGGCGUAUUUCAACUGUCCUGCUAAGGUCAGAUUUCCCACGGACUGAUUCUGUGAUUUGAAAAACAACCUCAACUCAACAAACUUCCAGAUAAUGAGCUAAGAGUCUGUGCGGUGGGACAGACUAUUUGUUUUGUAUUAUUGGACCUGGGAUUUGUACAAACUGUCUUCAAACUGUAGUUUAUAAUAAAACAACUGAAAAUUAA